GAAUUCCUUACAGCAACACAUACAUAAUCUAAAAUCAUAUUUUUAAGAAACUUUGGAUUCUG
rfam:Dictyostelium purpureum unplaced genomic scaffold DICPTscaffold_60, whole genome shotgun sequence.